UACGUAGGAGACGAGCGUUGUCCGGAGUUACUGGGCGUAAAGGGUGCGCAGGUGGCGGCGCGCGUGGGGGGUGAAAUCGCCCGGCUUAACUGGGCGGGGGCCUUCCAGACGGCGUGGCUUGAGCAGCGGAGGGGGACGUGGAAUUCCGGGUGGAGCGGUGAAAUGCGUAGAUAUUGGGAGGAACACCAGUGGCGAAGGCGGCUCACUGGACCGGUACUGACGCUGAUGCGCGAAAGCGUGGGGAGCAAACGGG
rnacentral:rRNA from 1 species